UACGGAGGGUGCGAGCGUUGUCCGGAAUCACUGGGCGUAAAGGGCGCGUAGGUGGUCGGGUAAGCGUGUGGUGAAAGCUCGGGGCUCAACCCCGAGUCGGCCAUGCGAACUGCUCGACUUGAGCACUGUAGAGGCAGACGGAAUUCCGGGUGUAGCGGUGGAAUGCGUAGAGAUCCGGAAGAACACCGGUGGCGAAGGCGGUCUGCUGGGCAGUUGCUGACACUGAGGCGCGACAGCGUGGGGAGCAAAC
rnacentral:rRNA from 1 species